UCCCUUAGUAGCGGCGAGCGAACAGGGAAGAGCCCAGCGCCGAAUUCCGCGUCUCAAAGGGCGUUUGGAACAUGUGGCGUUUAGGAGGAAUCUCUCCGAGGGCAGACGGUGUCGCAAGUCCCCCUGAACGGGGCUGUGAUCCAGAGCGGGUGCGAGGCCCAUAGCUGGUACCGUCUCCUUUGGGUGUCCCCUCCUUGGAGUCGGGUUGCUUGGGAGUGCAGCCCUAAUUGGGUGGUAAACUCCACCUAAGGCUAAAUACGUCCGUGAGACCGAUAGCAAACAAGUACCGUGAGGGAAAGUUGCAAAGAACUUUGAAGAGAGAGUUCAAGAGUACGUGAAACCGCUCAGAGGCAAACGGGUGGGCCCACGAAAGCCGAAGGCGGGGGGAUUCAGUCGAGAGGACGGUGGGGCAGGACUGGCUGGUUGGACGGACCGUGCCAGGCCGGGUCAGUUCCCGAGAUCUGCCGCCUUUCGACGCAUUUCCCCCUGCUUAGUAGGACGCCGCAACCGGUUGGCGCUGCAGCCAUAAGGGAGAGUAAAUGGAAGGUAGCCAGUGAGUUCUUCUUCGGAGGCGCGAGCUGGUCCUAAGCCGACUCUCCUGGUGCUUGUGGCCCGACCGUGGUCGUGAGUCCCUCAACGGGAUGUCGCCGAGCCCUCUGACUGGAGCGGGAGAAAUGGCAGGCUGCUUUCCGCGGAAAAAAUCGAUCGCUUCACGCGUGCAGUGGGCGAUCUCCGGAGGUAGCUGCUGGUGCAUUUUUCUCCUGCGCUGGGCACAGGCAGUUGGCGGCGAGUAGGUCGGUCACCCACCCGACCCGUCUUGAAACACGGACCAAGGAGUCUAACAUGUGCGCGAGUCAUUGGGUCUUGAACAAGCCCAAAGGCGCAAUGAAAGUGAAGACCAGCACUGAAGCUGGUGGAGUUGGGAAACUGCGUUACUGAAGAUGCAGUUGCACCAACGGCCCGUCCCGUCCGCAUCGUCGGUGGGGCGGAGCGAGAGCGUACACGUUGGGACCCGAAAGAUGGUGAACUAUGCCUGGGCAGGACGAAGCCAGAGGAAACUCUGGUGGAGGUCCG
rnacentral:rRNA from 1 species